UGACACAUGGCGUUAAGGUAGGCCACCGUCGCGAGCAGGUAAUACCUGCACUGAAUAGAUUAUCAUCACUCGUUUUACGACAGAUUUAUAUUCUCCGAAGGUGUUAGAUACCAUAGUCUCCAUAGCGCACAUUAGGCCUAUCGUAAGUCGUUAUCCUUCGAAUCCUUUACAGCCACCGUUUGAUGUAGUCUGACCGGGAGACACUGGACCCUUAUUUUCAAAUGAAAGAUAGCCUUAUGACCUCUCACUUGGAAAAUCCAGGCGCCAAAACAAGCCUUAUGAUGUGAGGGCCAAAAAAAAAAAAAAAAAAAAAAAAAAGACAUCCAAAAAUGGGACUAGACAAAGCAUUAUUUCACGAAAAUGUCCCAGGGGACCUCAUUUGCGGUAUUUGUCGGCAGGUUUUUGACGACCCAGUGUCUAAUGUAUGUCCACACGUUUUUUGUUUGAAAUGUAUUUCCCAACGUCUGCGCCAUAAUUCGUCUCGCGUCUGUCCAGUGUGCCAUAAGCGCUUAAAGGCUGCUCCAGCAUCGCCGCCGAAAGAAUUAGUUGACAGAAUUCUUACUAUGAAAAUUAACUGCACGAGCAAAUGUGGAGAAGUGUUUGAGUUACGCGAGCUUAAAGGCCAUUUGAAUUCCAUUUGUCUAAAUGCCUUGGUUGAUUGUGACUAUGAGGAGAAAGGGUGUAAAGAAAAAAUGUUACGUAAAAAUCUCCCGGAACACCUGAAACAAUGUCUUUAUAGAAAAACGACCUGCGAAGCCUGUGGUUAUAAGUGCCUGGUCAAGGAUUUGGCAACACAUCAACAUAAGAAGAAAUGCUUGCAGAUUAAACUGAAACAGGACAUAAUUUCUAGCGUUCGGAAUGCGAACAAAGAAAUAAAACAUCACUGUAAAUCACUACGAGACGCCCGUUAUCAUUUAAAGCAAGAGGAGCGCAAGGAGAGACAAGCGCGGCGACAAUCUCGAUUGAAUUCUGCCGCUUCCUACAGAUCAGCAACAGGUUCUCUCAUGAGCAGCCGUAAAAACUACGCAAACGGUAGGGGAAAUUACGACGACGUUACGUCCUCGACAUCAAGAGUGACCAGUGGCUAUAGCGUGCGCUCAUACGCCAGCUCUAAACCUCCACUUCUUGGUCCUAGGGGGUCCAUCUCCGGAGGGUCAAAGUUUUUGCCUGCUGGCACAGGUGAUACAAGCGUAGUGGGCGUAGAAAGGGGCGCGGCCCGUCAAAUGACGCCACGCGCACCUCACCCUUCCCGAAAUGAAGACCUGUCCCCUAGAGAAAGGCUGUGGUGUCUACGGUGCGACAAGCCGUUCUUAAUGAAGAGCAACCAUAGUUCGGCCUGUUCUUUUCACAGAGGGCCGGUAAGUACUCCUUAUUCCAAAUGAAUUUUGUAAUUUUUAAUCGUAGAAGAUUGCUAGAUUGUUAUCAGCACAUCCUCGUGACUCGAUUAUAACUUUAUCUUUUAAAAUGUUAGAACUGCCAUAUGAAAAUACUGGUAACGGGAUGGGAUUUGGCAAAAAUUCUGUAAUCAGAUUGUCUGUCCACAUGUAUUGAAUUAAUUUGCAAAAUGAACAGUGCCGCGAGCCGGGAUUGAACCAGCGACCUUCAGAUAACUGGUGAUAUCUUAUCUUAUGCUACAUAAGCCGACUUCAGUCUGACGCUCUCCCAACUGAGCUAUCGCGGCCGUCCUUCCUCUGUUUUGUUAGUAUUUAUUUAUUAUAUAUUUUACAAGUAAAAUUAACAUUAAAAUUGAAUCAAAAUUGGUCACGUUUAAAACUUCAAAUACUCCGUUGUUAUUUCAUUAUAUUUUAUUGUAACUAUAUAUGUCAUUCUUUAUAGAUGGUUUUUGUAAUAUAAUUCUCACUCUUAUUUUCAUCCCAUUGCUAUUGUCGGCUGAUUAAUUUUACAGAUGCUGGAGUUAUUUGGUGUAAGUAUUCCAUUUCUUUCCCAGACUGAAAAAUAAGCAAUUAAAGUUAUCUUUUUGGAUAUCGUGUACAUUCUAGUUAUGUACAUAAAAUAAUUGACAUCAAAUAGUAUAAACCUAAAAUGUAUCUUUAACUUUAUUCAAUAUGUUAUAUAUUCACCUCAAUUGAUAUUAAUAAGGAUUAUAUUUUAUUUCCAUGUUUGGUCCUUGCCCAUUUGACACUGAUCAACUUUCAUUUAAACAGGGAAUGUGUGAAAGCUGUGGAAGGCUCGACAUUCAUAAGGGAUGCCUAACUGGAUACCACAUAUCAAACGAAGACGACUACAUAGAGCGAC